CACGGAACGUGAACAUCCUCGCGAUAAGGCGUGCCCUUGAGGAACCGCUCCAGGUAACCUGCAACGCUUGUGAGUACGCAGGCGCGCAGGUGC
rnacentral:sRNA from 1 species